GAUGAACGCUGGCGGCGUGCCUAAUACAUGCAAGUCGAGCGAACGGACGAGAAGCUUGCUUUUCUGAUGUUAGCGGCGGACGGGUGAGUAACACGUGGAUAACCUACCUAUAAGACUGGGAUAACUUCGGGAAACCGGAGCUAAUACCGGAUAAUAUUUUGAACCGCAUGGUUCAUAAGUGAAAGACGGUCUUGCUGUCACUUAUAGAUGGAUCCGCGCUGCAUUAGCUAGUUGGUAAGGUAACGGCUUACCAAGGCAACGAUGCAUAGCCGACCUGAGAGGGUGAUCGGCCACACUGGAACUGAGACACGGUCCAGACUCCUAAGGGAGGCAGCAGUAGGGAAUCUUCCGCAAUGGGCGAAAGCCUGACGGAGCAACGCCGCGUGAGUGAUGAAGGUCUUCGGAUCGUAAAACUCUGUUAUUAGGGAAGAACAUAUGUGUAAGUAACUGUGCACAUCUUGACGGUACAUAAUCAGAAAGCCACGGCGAACUACGUG
rnacentral:rRNA from 1 species